UUGAUCCAAUUAGGUAGCUUGAUCCAGCUCUAUGCUGUCCAGUCUGAGAGAUUCUUUGUAUCAGAGUUUGCCACCUAGUAUAAAGUCAUCUUUGCGCUCUAGAAUUCAUUCUUUUCAUGUCAAAGAAAAGACAUCAAAGUUGAGAUGGAGCAGACUCUACAGAGGCUUGUUCCAAUUGCCACAAAAACAGCGAAGUAAGAUAUCCCCACUACCGACCUCAAAUGCUUUCAAGCUUGCCUUUGUUUCUUUUGAUAUUUCUGUUUUUGCUUCUGAUUGCAGCAAAGCUCAUCAUGGCUUCGGAUGGGGUGGUGAAUGGGCGAAUACUGGCUUAGUUAAACUCGAGCACUUUCUGUCAUUUUUUAACCACCGCUUCCACCCAACCAGCACCUCUACAAUAGUAAAAGGAACUCCAUAGUGGUAAAUUCAUGCCAAAACAUAGAUGAUGUGGUGUGUUGUUGCUGGUCUGAGGUAAACAGGAAGCUUCCUGUCACUGGAUAAAUCGAGCUAUGAUGUUAAAGACGCGUCUGCCAAAACCUGCUCGCCUCUACUAAUUGCUGAAGACUAAUGUUACAAGACAUAAGUGAGAGAAAACAGUGGUUGGGAAUCAGUAAGAGCUAGGAUUUGGACUCCUUCAAGGCUAGGUUGAAGAAGCACGACAAACUGAGCAAGAGGAUGUCAUUGAUAGAGUCAGUGAAUUUAGAUGACUCAAAGGAAUCCACAUACCUUUUGAUAAAGUAGAACGCCUUAUAGGUAAAGAGAUGGUCAUCCCACAUCCUGCUUUUGUCUACAACCGUGUCCAUAGAGUUCUAGAAGACAGCGAGCCCCAUAGCAUCCCUGGUAGAUGGCUUUGAAAGAAUUUGGGGAAUAUUCACAAUCUCCGUCACUCAAAAGUUCCUCCUACGACAUAGGGGCAACGCAGGUAUGCUUUGGAAGCUGGAGAGAUGUGGCUGGGAGAAUAUGCAAGGGAGGUGAAUCAUAGUGUAGUUUGAAAAGAUGGUGAAAAGAAUACGUGACAUACUUUUGGUGUCUGUACAAAGAGUUAAGUCAUAUUGUUCAAAUUAUUCAUUUUGGAUGCAUGGAGUUGCUUUUUUUUGGAGGGUCCGUCUGCAUUCCUUCACUCUACUCUGUCCUACUAUUGCGGUUUCUUUUCUUGUUUCUUUCUUUUGUCCUUGUAAUUCUUUCUAUGGCGUUGAAUAUGUAAACAGGUGGCACCGCAAGAAUUCCAUUUGUAAACU